CUUUAUGUAUAUGUGUGCACAAGCAUGUGUAUAUAUGCAUAUAUCCAUAUAUGCACAUCCACAGACACAUAUAAACAAUAUGUAUAUAUACACAUGUGUAUACACACACACACACAAACCCCUAAAUUCUCCACUUUUGUCUGCAGUAUGUUUUGUCCUGCAGCCGUUUUUCUAGACGAAUCUCUUCGUGUCAGGUGUCACUAGGUAUCCCAACAGCUCGGUAGGAAACUAUGCGCGGAGGCUCCAGGAGCUAUUCUGGCCGCAGAGGCAGCAGCGCCAGGGGAGCGCGAGGUGCCUGCCGGCACAGCGGGGCAGCCGCGCCGAGCAGCGGCAGCGGCAGCGGCAGGUCCUCCCCGCGCCCCGCGCCCCGCGCCCGCCGCCGCCGCAGGAAACAAACUCCGGAACCGGCGGCCUCCUCUUCACGAGCGGCGCGAGCGACGGCAGCGGUCCCGGGCCGGCACAGGUCCCGGGCCGGCACAGAAUUAGAGAUUCUGCAGACCCUUAAGGUACAGGAACAUUAACAGCAAAAUCCCCGUUUCUGCCAGACCUUCGGAAAUUCCAAUAGAAGGAGCCAAGUCUACAUUUCCUAACUCUUCUGGUAAGAAAAAAAAAAAAAAGGAAAUGCAUCUGGUUCUUCAUGAAUUAGCUAGAAAGAAUCAGGGAAGUAUCCUGUAAUGCUUUUCUAUUCCUGAAAGCCACGAAUACAAAGUAAAGAAAACCGAAACCAGUAACUACUUUUACUUUCAUUUCUACACACACACAAUUUCAUAGGAAUGUACUGUACAGAAUGCCAAAAUUGCAUUGCUUUUGGAUCACAAAUUGCCUUCAGAUAACAGUAAGUGCCUAAUCAGAACAAUACAACACAUCACACAGCUGUGCUUACCUUUUUUCUUUUUACAGGAAGAUAAUGCUUCACAGUGGAAUCAUAUCCUUCCUCAUUCCCCAAGCAGAUAAUCCACUGUAUGAUGAAGCCCACUUAUCUUAAAGAUGACAGCCGUAAGAGAACUGAAAUUUGGAUGACUGCCCAGCAUAGAGGAUGGCCAUAAAGUCCAGGGGCUAUUUGCUGCUUUUCCAAAGAAGCAGUCCAAGUUCCUUUCAGCAGCUGAAUUCUCUGCCACUUCCAGAGCCUACUGAAGGAUAAAACUCCAAAUUAAAAACAAUCUGAUAAUAUAAUGUUUCUUUCCUGUGAUAAUAUUUCUUUACAAAACAUAACAGUAGUAACAUCUCUCCUAUAACCUUCCCAAAACAAAGCAACCCCAAAAUAAGAAUACUUACUCAGGACAUUAGUCUAUUGAAGAACCAGAAUAUACUCUGGGCUGCUGUGAGAACAGUUUAGCAGUGAAUACAUUUACAGAGUGCAAUACUGUAUAAAGAAAAUUCAAAACUAAUCAAAGGCUGCAUGCCCAGGGCACAAAUGUGUAACUGUAGGAUACAUUGGACAUGCAAACCUCUUUGGUCCUUGUGCCGUAAGGACCAAGUACUGCCAUUCACAGUACAUCAGCCAAAAUUUUGUAGGGGGCC
rnacentral:lncRNA from 1 species